UGACUCUCACUAACCAUAAUUGUCGUUAUUUUUUAAUAACUCAGAUCAAAAUUCAAUAAAGACGUUCUAUAAUGUAGUUUUCAUCAACUGAAAAUUCUUAUCUUCAUGAGCUUCAAAAAUUCAAAAUAAAUCAUCACUGGUGUUAUAGGAUUGGCAAUGGGAAUCAUCCAUGUUCUUGUGAAGUACUCUGGGAGAUGGACAUAUGAACAAACAUUGUGAAGAAUGCAUCACUAACGCUAUGUUGUUGAGCACAAAUGUAUCAUACAAUCAACUAUACAAUCUUCUGACAUCUCAUAUUAAUGUGAAUUUGAAUAGCAAAAGUAUUUAAAUUGAAUAUCAAAUAACCAGUAGAGCAGGGCAAACACGUAUGCAUAAUGACAUGGGUUUAAAGGUGUAUUCAUAUCUUUGUUUGAAAAAUACACGUGUAGUUGCCUAUAUGUAUUAACAAAGGCAAUGACCAAUAUAAUUUUAUAUGUA